CCUACGGGCGGCAGCAGUGAGGAAUAUUGGUCAAUGGACGAGAGUCUGAACCAGCCAAGUAGCGUGAAGGAUGACUGCCCUAUGGGUUGUAAACUUCUUUUAUAAAGGAAUAAAACGAGGCACGUGUGCCUUUUUGCAUGUACUUUAUGAAUAAGGAUCGGCUAACUCGGUGCGAGCAGCCGCGGUAAUACGGAGGAUCCGCGCGUUAUCCGGAUUGAUUGGGUUUAAAGGGAGCGUAGAUGGGUUUUUAAGUCAGUUGUGAAAGUUUGCGGCUCAACCGUGGAAUUGCAAUUGAUACUGGAAGUCUUGAGUGCAGUUAGGGUAGGCGGAAUUCGUGGUGUAGCGGUGAAAUGCUUAGAUAUCACGAAGAACCCCGAUUGCGAAGGCAACUGAC
rnacentral:rRNA from 1 species